rnacentral:misc_RNA from 1 species
GAACCACAUAAUUUAAUUUGCUCGUCUAGAUUCAUAGAAAUCACAAGUAUUUAAGUUAAAUAGCAGUCUUGUAUCCAGGCUGUAAGGAGCAGUAUCCUGAGUUUAAACAUGGUUUGUCCAUGGUAAGUACAGAAAGCCAAGAAUUUACAUAUGUUCACUGUCAUCUCAAACUUUUUAGCUUGCCUGAUUUCAGCUUGACUACCCCUUGACUGAUGCCCCAAAGGUGUUCUCACCGCUAUAGGUCAUGUACAGGAAUCCAUCCUCAUCUUUGUUUUCCUCGUAAAUUGC